rnacentral:rRNA from 1 species
UCCCGGAAUUAUUGGGCGUAAAGCGUUCGUAGGUGGUUUGUUAAGUCUGAAGUUAAAGCCUGGGGCUCAACCCCAGCCCGCUUCGGAUACUGGCAGACUAGAGUUAUAGAGAGGUCGGUAGAACUCCAUGUGAAGCGGUGGAAUGCGUAGAUAUAUGGAAGAAUACCAAUGGCGAAGGCAGCCGACUGGAUAUAUACUGACACUGAGGGACGAAAGCGUGGGGAGCAAACAGGAUUAGAUACCCUGGUAGUCCACGCCGUAAACGAUGAUCAUUAGCUGGUGGAUUUAAUCACCGGCGCAGCUAACGCGUUAAAUGAUCCGCCUGAGUAGUAUGCUCGCAAGAGUGAAACUUAAAGGAAUUGACGGGGACCCGCACAAGCGGUGGAGCAUGUGGUUUAAUUUGAAGAUACGCGUAGAACCUUACCCACUCUUGACAUCCUCUGCAACGCUAUAGAGAUAUAGUUGAGGUUAACAGAGUGACAGAUGGUGCAUGGUUGUCGUCAGCUCGUGUCGUGAGAUGUUAGGUUAAGUCCUGCAACGAGCGCAACCCCUGUCUUUAGUUACCAUCAUUAAGUUGGGGACUCUAGAGAGACUGCCUGGGUAACCAGGAGGAAGGUGGGGACGACGUCAAAUCAUCAUGCCUCUUACGAGUGGGGCAACACACGUGCUACAAUGGCUGAUACAAAGGGAUGCGAAAUGGCAACAUUUAGCUAACCUCAAAAAAUCAGUCUCAGUUCGGAUUGGAGUCUGCAACUCGACUCCAUGAAGUUGGAAUCGCUAGUAAUCGUAGGUCAGCUACACUACGGUGAAUACGUUCUCGGGUCUUGUACACACCGCCCGUCACACCACGGGAGUUGGUAAUGCCCGAAGCCGG